rnacentral:snRNA from 1 species
GUGUUCACUUCAGCAGCACAUAUACUAAGAUUGAAACGACACAGAGAAGAUUAGCAUGGCCCCUGUGCAAGAAUGACAUGCAGAUUCAUAAAGCAUUCCAUAUUUUA